rnacentral:lncRNA from 1 species
CAUGGCUUCACCAACAAAGCAUGCUUGUCAAAUUUUGCUUUUGCUAAACUGUUAGUUUUGUUUUGUUUUUAAGUUAUCUCAGUUUUGCUUCAAUUUGCAUUUCUCUUAUUAGGGCUUGAGACUGAGCAUCUUCUCAUUGUUUAAGAGCCUUCUGACCUGUCUGGUCAUAUCCUGUGCUCACUUUUCUUUUCUCUCCCUUCUCUCUGGCUGUGCGACAGGGCUUGCAAGAUCUUAGUUCCCCAAACCCAACCCUCCUCACCUCCCCAGGAGUGGAAGCAUGGAGUCCUAAGCGCUGGACUGCCAGGGAAUUCCCUCUCUUUCCUAGGCAAAUCUUCGAUCCUUUUGGAAUUUACCCUGAUCUGCGGUGUGAGGUAUGGCUCCAUCUUUGGCUUGCUUUCUAAUAACUAAUUAUCCCAUUAUCUUCAUCAGGGAGUAAGGUAGGAGCUGCUUUGAGCUGCAUCCAACUGGAAUUUCUUUGUUUUUGCCUUUUAAUUUAUAGCAAUACCAGCUCCUACUUUCCCCACUCACCUUCCCCCAUGUGCCUGUUCAAUGCUCGAUUGAUUUUUGUUUGUUUACCAUUAAGAAUUAAUUUUAUUAUUAAUUGAACAUUGUCCCUGACCUUUGGGAUUUCUAUUUACGAUUUAUUUUAGUUGAUAACCAU